GGGUUUAUUCAGUUUCCUGGGUUCUUGGGGUUUAUGGUAAUAAGAAGCUUUGUCUAAAAGUCUUAAUGGUUGUGGGGGAAGAACAAAGGAGAUGGAGAAAGACGAGUUUGUGCUUCUUCUUGAACUGAAGAGUUAUAGCUGCUAUAGUAGCUGGAAGUGAAAGAAAUUAGAUUUUGUACGGAAGACAAAAUUAGGGUUUUUAUUUUAUUUUUACCAAUUUCAAAAGUUAGCAGUACCUUUUUGUAUCUUGAAUAUUCUCGACGAUGAAGCUGUCAACAUCUGGAUUGGUUCAACAAAGUCAUGAAGGUUUUGUUUCAACUUCAGUCUCUGAUUUUUUCAUCCUUUUUUUGUUUU
rnacentral:lncRNA from 1 species